GAUGAACGCUGGCGGCGUGCCUAAUACAUGCAAGUCGAGCGAACAGAUAAGGAGCUUGCUCCUUUGACGUUAGCGGCGGACGGGUGAGUAACACGUGGGUAACCUACCUAUAAGACUGGAAUAACUCCGGGAAACCGGGGCUAAUGCCGGAUAACAUGUUGAACCGCAUGGUUCUACAGUGAAGGGCGGCUUUGCUGUCACUUAUAGAUGGACCCGCGCCGUAUUAGCUAGUUGGUGAGGUAACGGCUCACCAAGGCAACGAUACGUAGCCGACCUGAGAGGGUGAUCGGCCACACUGGAACUGAGACACGGUCCAGACUCCUACGGGAGGCAGCAGUAGGGAAUCUUCCGCAAUGGGCGAAAGCCUGACGGAGCAACGCCGCGUGAGUGAUGAAGGUCUUCGGAUCGUAAAACUCUGUUAUUAGGGAAGAACAAAUGCGUAAGUAACUGUGCGCGUCUUGACGGUACCUAAUCAGAAAGCCACGGCUAACUACGUG
rnacentral:rRNA from 1 species